AGUCGAGCGGACCAACGAGGAGCUUGCUCCUUAAAGGUCAGCGGCGGACGGGUGAGUAACACGUGGGCAACCUGGCUGUAAGACUGUGAUAACUCCGGGAAACCGGGGCUAACACCGGAUAACAUCUUCCUCUGCAUAGAGGAGGAUUGAAAGAUGGCUUCUCGCUAUCACUUACAGAUGGGCCCGCGGCGCAUUAGCUAGUUGGUGAGGUAAGGGCUCACCAAGGCGACGAUGCGUAGCCGACCUGAGAGGGUGAUCGGCCACACUGGGACUGAGACACGGCCCAGACUCCUACGGGAGGCAGCAGUAGGGAAUCUUCGGCAAUGGACGAAAGUCUGACCGAGCAACGCCGCGUGAGUGAGGAAGGCCUUCGGGUCGUAAAGCUCUGUUGUUAGGGAAGAACAAGUACCGUUCGAACAGGGCGGUACCUUGACGGUACCUAACCAGAAAGCCACGGCUAACUACGUGCCAGCAGCCGCGGUAAUACGUAGGUGGCAAGCGUUGUCCGGAAUUAUUGGGCGUAAAGCGCGCGCAGGCGGUCUCUUAAGUCUGAUGUGAAAGCCCACGGCUCAACCGUGGAGGGUCAUUGGAAACUGGGGGACUUGAGUACUGGAGAGGAGAGUGGAAUUCCAUGUGUAGCGGUGAAAUGCGUAGAUAUAUGGAGGAACACCAGUGGCGAAGGCGGCUCUCUGGCCAGUAACUGACGCUGAGGCGCGAAAGCGUGGGGAGCAAACAGGAUUAGAUACCCUGGUAGUCCACGCCGUAAACGACGAGUGCUAGGUGUUGGGGGGUUCCACCCUCAGUGCUGACGUUAACACAUUAAGCACUCCGCCUGGGGAGUACGACCGCAAGGUUGAAACUCAAAGGAAUUGACGG
rnacentral:rRNA from 1 species